AUGUCACUUCAUGAUUUUUGUCGGGUGUGUUUGAUCCCUUUUGAGGGCAGUGUAGAGGAACCACAUCGUGAUGAUGUGGAAGGGUUUAUUGAUACAAUUGCUGUAGGGGAAACGCGGAAGGUUUCCGAUGCAAGAAUUACUAGCAUUCAUUUUCCUGUUUUACGCUACUUUGCAAUAUUUGCUAUUAGAUGCUUAAUUGGUCGCAGAAACUGUGGCAACCUUAGUGCCCCUGAUAUUGUUAUUUUGUGCCAUGCCUUGUUCCGUGAUGACACAUUUAGUAUGGGCGCUAUUGUUGCAAAACGGUUAAAUCUUAACCAUACUAAGGGCCCCAUCUUGGGAGGUAUCUUCGCCUCGCGCCUCGCUGCACAUUUUAACAUACCUAUUAGACAUUAUGAGAAGGAAGACAAGUUGCUGCCUCCUAUUUUUCUAGACUAUAAGAGUAUGGUAGCACAUGAUCUUAUCGUUAAGAAUAAGGAAAAGAUGCUUAAGUAG
rnacentral:rRNA from 1 species